rnacentral:lncRNA from 10 species
GGACGUUGGAGGGGUGGCCGCAUGGAGUGAGUACUGUCUCUGGCCACCGAGCAGAGCCAGUGACAGCAGCGUCCUGGUAGGCAGGCAGGCGUAUCAGGUUUCAGAGGAUGCGGCUGGGAACGGGAGUAGAGGUGAGGGGUCGUUGCAUCUGUCGCGGUGUGUAUCUUUUGGGGGUUCAGCGCCACCAGCGACUUGGGCCUCAUUCAUCGCGCUUACAUUUCUCCACCUCAUUUGAAGAACGAGCUUCGUAGCCCACGGAGCUGAGGUAUAUGAGCUCCCUGAAAGCACAAAGCAGUUAUUUCCAUCUUCAGAUCAUUCAGAGAUUAUGAAGGCACAAACCCUGCCUUCAAUUUGCUUAUAGUCAAGUGGAGCAGACACAAGUCAAUGAUUGCAGUAUAGCCACUGAAGUAAUCUAAAAGAGGUGGGGAGGCCACAGCUUAUGUGAAUGACUUUCUCAGGAGUUAUAAAGUGAUACAGACUUAUCAGCAGGUUGCAGGUGAACAUGGCCUUGAGAUGUUUUCUUCUAAAUAAAUGAGAAAGAUGUUUCAACAAAGGCUCUUUAUGCUGAAUAAUUGUGAUGCUUGAAGUUGCUAAUCUGCUUUAAGUGGAUUUUAAAUGUCAGGCAAUUCUAGACAGUUUUUUCUUGGUCAAAUAAAAAUUUAAUUAAAACUUUA